rnacentral:lncRNA from 1 species
GCUGGUGUCCGAGGGAUCAUUUAGGACCCCUUCAUAAUGAGAAACAAAAGCAGACACAGCAGGGCCUCAGCUGGCAACACCUCUGAACUGAGCCUGCACUCAGGAGGCUGCCACUCCAUUCUCACGCCAUUCACACUCGUCUCGCCACCCCUGCUUGGUGUCUGUUCUGAGAAGCACAGGAAUACCCGAGGUGAGGCACAAUGACAGUCCUCCACUGUUAAGCUAUAGCCUAAUUCAUAUCUUACAUGUGUCCUUUUAAUUGAAGAGGCGAAGUUGGCCAAAUAGAAGCACAAGUGGAGUAAACAGAACAUUCCCCACCUGCUCUGUUAGGGCAGUAGCGUUGCUGGGCGUGUGGAGGUCACUCUGCUGCCGGAUUCUCUGGUGUUUCCAGGCAGCCUUACCUUAGCUGUCCUCCAUUCUCAUUAGACUUCUUACCUAUUUUUUCAGUUAGCCAUCCUUGCUGUUUU